rnacentral:rRNA from 1 species
GAUUCGGGUGCUUAUGUCUUGUAUUGGAUGAUGGGAAUUUAAACCUCUUCCAGAGUAUCAAUUGGAGGGCAAGUCUGGUGCCAGCAGCCGCGGUAAUUCCAGCUCCAAUAGCGUAUAUUAAAAUUGUUGCAGUUAAAAAGCUCGUAGUUGAAUUUCUGCUGCAUUGCAUCUUCUUUUUGAUGAGUUGGUGUAUUGUGGCUUAUUUCGGAUGAUACUUGUAUUAUCCGGAUGAUUACUUUGAGAAAAUUAGAGUGCUCAAAGCAGGCUUUUGCCUUGAAUAGUUUAGCAUGGAAUAAUAAAGUAGGACUUUGGUUCUAUUUUGUUGGUUUUAGGUACCAAAGUAAUGGUUAAUAGAGACAGUUGGGAG